rnacentral:snRNA from 1 species
GUGCUCACUCCAGUGGCACAUAUACUAAAAUUGGAACAAUACAGAGAAGAUUAGCUUGGCCCCUGUGCAAGGAUGACACACACAUUUGUGAAGCAUUCCAUGUUAUU